CCGAACUGUUGACACGAGUUGUUGCUGGUCCCCACAUGGGGGCAUGUGCAUGCUCUGUUUACACAUCCACUCACACCGUGUGCACCCUCUGUAGUUCUAUGGCCUGGGGGGCUCUGUCCUCUUGCCUUGGUUCUAUGUCUUUACAAUACACACCGUAACAAAGUCUUAUGGAAUGCACGCCGCGUCUAACGCAACACAAUACAACUUUCAGCAACGGAUCUCUUGGCUCUCGCAUCGAUGAAGAACGCAGCGAAAUGCGAUAAGUAAUGUGAAUUGCAGAAUUCAGUGAAUCAUCGAAUCUUUGAACGCACCUUGCGCCCUUUGGCUAUUCCGAAGGGCAUGCCUGUUUGAGUAUCAUGAACACCUCAACUCUCAUGGUUUUUCCAUGGUGAGCUUGGACUUUGGGGGUCUUGCUGGCCUGUGGUCGGCUCCUCUAAAAUGAAUCAGCCUGCCAGUGUUUGGUGGCAUCACAGGUGUGAUAACUAUCUGCGCUUGUGGUUCUCCACCAGGUAACCUUCAGUGAUGGGGGUUCACUGGAGCUCAUAAAUGUUUCUCCUCAGCGAGGACAGCUUUUGACG
rnacentral:sRNA from 1 species